CACGGCGCACGGGUGCGUAACACGUGGGCAAUCUGCCCUUUGAUGGGGAAUAACCCGCCGAAAGGCGGGCUAAUUCCGCAUAAGAUUCCCGGAACUUCGGUUCUGGGAUUGAAAGCAGCAAUGCGUCGAAGGAGGAGCCCGCGCCCGAUUAGCUAGUUGGUGAGGUAACGGCUCACCAAGGCUAUGAUCGGUAGCUGGUCUGAGAGGAUGAUCAGCCACACUGGAACUGAGACACGGUCCAGACUCCUACGGGAGGCAGCAGUGGGGAAUCUUGCACAAUGGGCGAAAGCCUGAUGCAGCGACGCCGCGUGGGGGAUGAAGCAUUUCGGUGUGUAAACCCCUUUCGACUGGGAAGAAUACCUCGCAAGAGGGGUGACGGUACCAGUAGAAGAAGCCCCGGCUAACUACGUGCCAGCAGCCGCGGUAAAACGUAGGGGGCCAGCGUUGCUCGGAAUUACUGGGCGUAAAGGGUCCGUAGGCGGUGUGGCAAGUCGGUAGUGAAAUCUCUAGGCUUAACCUAGAGGCUGCUGCCGAAACUGCCGUGCUAGAGUGUGAGAGAGGCGAGUGGAAUUACGGGUGUAGCGGUGAAAUGCGUAGAUAUCCGUAGGAACAUCCGAGGCGAAAGCGGCUCGCUGGAUCACAAC
rnacentral:rRNA from 1 species